AUACGGAGGGUGCGAGCGUUGUUCGGAAUUAUUGGGCGUAAAGAGCAUGUAGGCGGUCUGUUAAGUCUGGUGUGAAAGCCCGGGGCUCAACCCCGGAAGUGCAUUGGAUACUGGCAGACUUGAGUAUGGGAGCGGAAAGCGGAAUUCCGAGUGUAGGAGUGAAAUCCGUAGAUAUUCGGAGGAACACCAGUGGCGAAGGCGGCUUUCUGGACCAAUACUGACGCUGAGAUGCGAAAGCGUGGGGAGCGAACAGGAUUAGAAACCCCAGUAGUCC
rnacentral:rRNA from 1 species